rnacentral:rRNA from 1 species
UACGUAGGCAGCGAGCGUUGUUCGGAGUUACUGGGCGUAAAGAGUGCGUAGGCGGUUUUCUAAGUUUGGUGUGAAAUCUCCCGGCUUAACUGGGAGGGUGCGCCGAAAACUGGAAGGCUUGAGUAUGGGAGAGGUAAGCGGAAUUCCUGGUGUAGCGGUGAAAUGCGUAGAUAUCAGGAGGAACACCAGUGGCGAAGGCGGCUUCCUGGCCUGUUCUUGACGCUGAGGCGCGAAAGCUAGGGGAGCAAACGGG